CCUACGGGUGGCAGCAGUGAGGAAUAUUGGGCAAUGGAGGCAACUCUGACCCAGCCAUGCCGCGUGCGUGAAGAAGGUUCUCGGAUUGUAAAGCUCUUUCGGAUGUGACGAUGAUGACGGUAGCAUCUAAAGAAGCCCCGGCUAACUUCGUGCCAGCCGCCGCGGUAAUACGAAGGGGGCAAGCGUUGUUCGGAAUUACUGGGCGUAAAGCGCUCGUAGGCGGUAUGUCAAGUCAAGGGUGAAAUACCCGCGCUAAACGUGGGAACUGCCUUUGAAACUGGCAAACUGGAGUGUGUGAGAGGAUAGUGGAAUUCGAGGUGUAGGAGUGAAAUCCGUAGAUAUCUGGAGGAACAUCAGUGGCGAAGGCGACUAUCUGGCACAUAACUGACGCUGAGGAGCGAAAGCGUGGGUAGCAAACAGGAUUAGAUACCCUUGUAGUC
rnacentral:rRNA from 1 species